CCCGUGUAUACUAGGGUUUAUACACUUCGCGUAGCACAUCUGCUGUGAAGUCUCUGCAGUCGCUUCGGAUCGAAGACAAGAGAGAGGCCCUUGAAGAAGGAGACCCAAAAAGAGGGUUCGUGACUCACUGUACUGUACCACCACCAUGAGAGCUAAGUGGAAGAAGAAACGUAUGAGGAGGUUGAAGAGAAAGCGUCGAAAGAUGAGGCAGCGAUCGAAGUAACAAUCGAUGAUGGACCUUCGCAAUUACGUCUAUGGCUCUCUCUGUGUCGUCAAUUUUCUUUUCGUUAUUCAGGGUUUUUGGCAUUUUGACAGAUAUAUUUGCACUUGAUGUAUGAAUUUAUAGUUCAAAUUUUACGACUUUGGCUUUAUUGAAUAUCAAGCUUUAUUGAUACCACUUGGGUUUGGUAUUAUUGUUUUGGGUUCUUUGUUAUAUGAUCAAUUGAAUGCCUUUCUCCAUUGCUUUUCA